UUCUCCGGGAGCCAGCAAUUCCAGACUUCCAGAACAGAUGGCACUUUUUGAUGCCAGCGAGAUCAAUUUGGAAUUCAUGUAAAUUGCCACUGUACCUCUGACCUCAAUUCUUUGGUGAACUGGACUAUCGGGCAAGUGGCCUUAUCCGGAUCUUCUGUACCGAAGGUGGAGCUGUAGGACGGAAGAUCUCUGCCAUAAUGACCCACAUGGGACAUGAUGCCGGCGAACUGUCUGUGUAUGAACUUCAGCGACUUGAACAUCUUUGAAGAUUUCACAAGCAUGUGGACAUGCAGCAGAGGAUCUCCGGACUCGGGAUGCAAGUGAGGCCAAAGCAAG